rnacentral:rRNA from 1 species
GGCGAACGCUGGCGGCGUGCUUAACACAUGCCAGUCGAACGGAAAGGCCCUGCUUUUGUGGGGUGCUCGAGUGGCGAACGGGUGAGUAACACGUGAGUAACCUGCCCUUGACUUUGGGAUAACUUCAGGAAACUGGGGCUAAUACCGGAUAGGAGCUCCUGCUGCAUGGUGGGGGUUGGAAAGUUUCGGCGGUUGGGGAUGGACUCGCGGCUUAUCAGCUUGUUGGUGGGGUAGUGGCUUACCAAGGCUUUGACGGGUAGCCGGCCUGAGAGGGUGACCGGCCACAUUGGGACUGAGAUACGGCCCAGACUCCUACGGGAGGCAGCAGUGGGGAAUAUUGCACAAUGGGCGGAAGCCUGAUGCAGCAACGCCGCGUGCGGGAUGACGGCCUUCGGGUUGUAAACCGCUAUCGCCUGUGACGAAGCGUGAGUGACGGUAAUGGGUAAAGAAGCACCGGCUAACUACGUG